UAUGUUCUUCGUGAACAUGGCGUACUGCUCAGUAACACGUGGAUAACCUGCCCUUGGGUCCGGCAUAACCCCGGGAAACUGGGGAUAAUUCCGGAUAACGCACAUAUGCUGGAAUGCUUUAUGCGUCAAAUGGAUUCGUCUGCCCAAGGAUGGGUCUGCGGCCUAUCAGGUAGUAGUGGGUGUAAUGUACCUACUAGCCGACGACGGGUACGGGUUGUGAGAGCAAGAGCCCGGAGAUGGAUUCUGAGACAUGAAUCCAGGCCCUACGGGGCGCAGCAGGCGCGAAAACUUUACAAUGCGGGAAACCGUGAUAAGGGGACACCGAGUGCCAGCAUCAUAUGCUGGCUGUCCGGGUGUGUAAAAUACACCUGUUAGCAAGGGCCGGGCAAGACCGGUGCCAGCCGCCGCGGUAACACCGGCGGCCCGAGUGGUGAUCGUGAUUAUUGGGUCUAAAGGGUCCGUAGCCGGUUUGGUCAGUCCUCCGGGAAAUCUGACGGCUUAACCGUUAGGCUUUCGGAGGAUACUGCCAGGCUUGGAACCGGGAGAGGUAAGAGGUACUACAGGGGUAGGAGUGAAAUCUUGUAAUCCCUGUGGGACCACCUGUGGCGAA
rnacentral:rRNA from 1 species